UAAGAAGCUCUGGGUGAGACAGACUCACUGCCUGGCCGAGAGAAGUCUGAGAGCCAAGGGAGGCCGGGGGCUACAAGUAGACAGAGAGGAGGAAGAGGUCCAACCCCUGGUGAUCUAGGACUCCGGCCAGGCCAAGACCUGCCCACCACCAUCACCACCAUCAUCCAGUCUCCACUGGCCCUAAGACCCCUGCUCUCUCCAUGGUACUUCAGAGGCAAUGGCGUUAAGUGACUCGCCGAGGGUCAACAGCUAGUA